UACGUAGGGUGCAAGCGUUGUCCGGAUUUAUUGGGCGUAAAGAGCUCGUAGGCGGCUUCGUAAGUCGGAUGUGAAAUCUCACGGCUUAACUGUGAGCGGCCAUUCGAUACUGCGAGGCUAGAGGUCGGUAGGGGGACAUGGAAUUCCUGGUGUAGCAGUGAAAUGCGUAGAUAUGUGGAGGAAUACCGAUGGCGAAGGCAGCCCCCUGGGAUAACACUGACGCUCAUGCACGAAAGCGUGGGGAGCAAACGAAGG
rnacentral:rRNA from 1 species